rnacentral:rRNA from 1 species
AGAGUUUGAUCCUGGCUCAGGAUGAACGCUGGCGGCGUGCCUAAUACAUGCAAGUCGAGCGAACAGAUAAGGAGCUUGCUCCUUUGACGUUAGCGGCGGACGGGUGAGUAACACGUGGGUAACCUACCUAUAAGACUGGGAUAACUUCGGGAAACCGGAGCUAAUACCGGAUAAUAUUUCGAACCGCAUGGUUCGAUAGUGAAAGAUGGUUUUGCUAUCACUUAUAGAUGGACCCGCGCCGUAUUAGCUAGUUGGUAAGGUAACGGCUUACCAAGGCGACGAUACGUAGCCGACCUGAGAGGGUGAUCGGCCACACUGGAACUGAGACACGGUCCAGACUCCUACGGGAGGCAGCAGUAGGGAAUCUUCCGCAAUGGGCGAAAGCCUGACGGAGCAACGCCGCGUGAGUGAUGAAGGUCUUCGGAUCGUAAAACUCUGUUAUUAGGGAAGAACAUACGUGUAAGUAACUGUGCACGUCUUGACGGUACCUAAUCAGAAAGCCACGGCUAACUACGUGCCAGCAGCCGCGGUAAUACGUAGGUGGCAAGCGUUAUCCGGAAUUAUUGGGCGUAAAGCGCGCGUAGGCGGUUUUUUAAGUCUGAUGUGAAAGCCCACGGCUCAACCGUGGAGGGUCAUUGGAAACUGGAAAACUUGAGUGCAGAAGAGGAAAGUGGAAUUCCAUGUGUAGCGGUGAAAUGCGCAGAGAUAUGGAGGAACACCAGUGGCGAAGGCGACUUUCUGGUCUGUAACUGACGCUGAUGUGCGAAAGCGUGGGGAUCAAACAGGAUUAGAUACCCUGGUAGUCCACGCCGUAAACGAUGAGUGCUAAGUGUUAGGGGGUUUCCGCCCCUUAGUGCUGCAGCUAACGCAUUAAGCACUCCGCCUGGGGAGUACGACCGCAAGGUUGAAACUCAAAGGAAUUGACGGGGACCCGCACAAGCGGUGGAGCAUGUGGUUUAAUUCGAAGCAACGCGAAGAACCUUACCAAAUCUUGACAUCCUUUGACAACUCUAGAGAUAGAGUUUUCCCCUUCGGGGGACAAAGUGACAGGUGGUGCAUGGUUGUCGUCAGCUCGUGUCGUGAGAUGUUGGGUUAAGUCCCGCAACGAGCGCAACCCUUAAGCUUAGUUGCCAUCAUUAAGUUGGGCACUCUAAGUUGACUGCCGGUGACAAACCGGAGGAAGGUGGGGAUGACGUCAAAUCAUCAUGCCCCUUAUGAUUUGGGCUACACACGUGCUACAAUGGACAAUACAAAGGGUAGCGAAACCGCGAGGUCAAGCAAAUCCCAUAAAGUUGUUCUCAGUUCGGAUUGUAGUCUGCAACUCGACUACAUGAAGCUGGAAUCGCUAGUAAUCGUAGAUCAGCAUGCUACGGUGAAUACGUUCCCGGGUCUUGUACACACCGCCCGUCACACCACGAGAGUUUGUAACACCCGAAGCCGGUGGAGUAACCAUUUGGAGCUAGCCGUCGAAGGUGGGACAAAUGAUUGGGGUGAAGUCGUAACAAGGUAACC